ACCGAGGCCGAGAGUGGUUUCUCCAGACAAGAGUCUGGAAUUCCUCAAGUAGCUUACUCUCUAGUUUUCACAAUAGGAUAAAGGGCUUGAGAGACACUGAAGAGGAGUCACUUAUUCUGCCUAAGGGGAAGUCAGGUUGCUAUUUGAAGUAGGCCUUGCGGCUGCUGUCCAAUUUGUGGGAGCCGUAGCCGCAGGUGACACGUGAGCUCUCCAAAUGUGGCUGGUCUGAACAGAGAUGUGUUCGAAGAUUUAGAAGAUUUAAUUUAAAAACUGAUAUUUUGGUGCUACCUUGGAGCAUUAAGAUGGAUUUGACUGGAAAAGAUGAGAAGGGCCUACAAACACUCCAAAGCAGAGAAGGUUGCCAUGCAGGGCCACGUAGAGGGUUGCACCCAAGGACAAAGAAACUUCAUGCUGGAGCUGCAGGAGGCUUAUGUAUGGCAAACAGGAUGGCGUUAGCAAGCACUGUCUCUGCAUGA
rnacentral:lncRNA from 1 species